rnacentral:rRNA from 1 species
ACUACGGGUGGCAGCAGUGAGGAAUAUUGGUCAAUGGGCGGAAGCCUGAACCAGCCAAGUAGCGUGCAGGAUGACGGCCCUACGGGUUGUAAACUGCUUUUAUACGGGAAUAACGCGCCUUACGUGUAGGGCUUUGCAUGUACCGUAUGAAUAAGGACCGGCUAAUUCCGUGCCAGCAGCCGCGGUAAUACGGAAGGUCCGGGCGUUAUCCGGAUUUAUUGGGUUGAAAGGGAGCGUAGGCCGCAUGUCAAGCGUGCUGUGAAAUGUCCGGGCUCAACCCGGGCCUUGCAGCGCGAACUGGCGUGCUUGAGUCCGCGGAAAGCAGGCGGAAUUCGUCGUGUAGCGGUGAAAUGCUUAGAUAUGACGAAGAACCCCGAUUGCGAAGGCAGCUUGCUGCAGCGGAACUGACGCUGAUGCUCGAAAGCGCGGGUAUCGAACAGGAUUAGAUACCCGAGUAGUC